rnacentral:lncRNA from 1 species
UAAAGGCAAGCGGCUCUCACAUCCUAAGGUAUUACCCAGCAAAAGGCAGCCUCAGGAGGCAGCCCACUGAAGACCUUCAAGUCCACGAAGACAAUGUAUGGAUUGUUCACUAAAACUGAGGAAUGAUUUUCAAAUAAUCUGUCGCCAGAGGGCCAAUCCAGGCUUCAGGCUCCAGUGUGUAUGGAGGAGCUGCCACUGCAGAGACGCUGGCUUAGGGGGCUGGGGGAUGCCUCCUUUGAAUUCUGGGCCCACCACUGACAACACUUCUCUUCUUGGAGAAAAGAUGACGAGAAGGAGAGGUCUUAGAACACAUCCUUAUCUGAAGGACAGGAUACAGUCUUGUUUUAGGAAACUCCAGCUGCUCUGUGUCAUUGAAAGGGAAGAGGAGAGACCAGAUGGUCCAAGUUCGCCAUGGCACUGGUAAGGACCUGAGACUGACUGCAGGCCCUUCAUGAAAGCAAAGCCUGGGUGUGUUAUAACCGCCAGUCCCACUCUCCCACAGUGAGGUCCAUCCCGGCAGGGGCUGAGUCCACCUUGACCACUGAGACAAACAGACCUGGUGAUGGACUCAGUGUUUUUAAAUUGUGGAGCUUGGACAGGGAGGGGCGAGAUGGAGAACGAGGUAUACACAAAAGAGAACAAUGUGAUGAGGGCAUGAAGUGUGCUUACCAACCUUCCCUCACUCAGAGGCUGGAAGAGAUUUUAGAGCUUAACAGAAAAAGAGUGGGAAGAGGACACUGCUGGGCAAAAGACAUGAACUAAAGACUUCUCGGCUGUCCCCAUCAGUGGCACGGUGGUCUCAGCAGUACCGAUGUGGAUACUCAAGAACGUGAGGCUACCGUGGAAAUGCUUUGCUUAAACCACACGUUGAGUUUCCAAGGAGUGAAGAUCCCCAGGGAAAGCAUCUAGGACCCUGCCAUGUUGGCCCAGCUCUGGGAAGUCAAUCGACGUGGACCCCUUACUGUGUUAACUGCUAAUCAGCCUUCUGUAAAAAUGAUAUUGCAAAUUCGUUGGUCCCCUGCCAAACCCAGAGGCUAUAAAUAGGAUGGCAGAGACAGUAACCCAUCAGCACACAUGAAAGGAGAACCUGUCUCCAUCAAGUCAUUUUUUUUCUAUAUUCCCUGCAACAAUAUUUCGAGUUCAGAAACCUGUCAAAGAGAUUAGUUGGAAAAAUCCCUUGCCUCAGAAGAAAGGGAAAUCUCCAGAAACAUCCAGCAUCAUAAUUCAUACAGCCUGGUGAAAAGUGCGGAUACAGAAUUGGAGGAAAUAGCAGCAUGGGCACCACCCUGAGAAUGAGCCUAGGGGAACCAGAGAGAAAGCCUUUACCACACCAAGCCACUCUGUUCUCACGGUUCUCAGGAUAUUUUCUUAAGUUGCCACGUCCUUGCCCCUGUAACUUUGGAGACUUGCCCUUUGAUCUGGAGAGUGGCCUCCUGAGGAGGACAGGAUCCGCAGGUCAGAAAGAACCAAUGGCAUGCAAAUAGUGGCACCAGGCAUCAUGGUCACCUGCCACCACGCCCUCCUGCAACCAGGCCGGCACUGACCUUGCUGUCGUAAUCGGAUGUGUUCACACACGUGUGGAUCACAUACAACAGUGAGUCUACCAGCCCCUCGCAGGACCGCAUUUGCUUCCGAGCUUCUUCCCCCGCGGAGCUGAGGUUCCUAAAGGGGUGGAGACAGGAGGAGCUGCUGAGAUGAACCAUGCACUCAUCAGCCACGUGGACUUAACCUUAAGGAUCUGAGAGAGCGAACAACAGGUGGCAGCCACUUAGAGGUCGGAGGAGGCACUGGGGGCUUGCAUGGUAACAUCCUGAAGCUCACAAUGAUGGCCCGCUCCCCAUUAUCCACACAUGGAAGGGAACCUGCACAUUUGGACUGUAUCUCUCUCAUGACGUGUCACUUUCUAAUUCCCUCAUAUAAUUCUUUAGGGGCCUAUUCUCCUGAGGUUCUUCAUAUGUAAAAGGGGGAAAAUAACAGUAACUACCUCACAGGGUUGCUGUGAAGAAGAAACGAGUUGCUACAUAGAAAGCAAUUAGAAAAGUGCCUCCUUCCCAGAAGGUGGCCUGCUGUCAGUCAUGGUGGUGGCUACUACUAGACAUGCUUCACCUCCCUUGUUAGGCCAGAAGCUUCUUGCAGUCCCCUGGGCCUAUUAUAAUAUUUUGCGUGCAGUAAGUAGGUGGUCAUUAAAUGUUUUUUGGAUGAACAGAGGAAACAUAUAAUUUCUUGUAUUAUAAACAUUUCAAGUUAAAUAUAGAUAUUUGCUUAUGCUAAAACUUUUCUGAUCUUUUCAAUUAUAAAACACCCAGAAAACGGUUUUGUGUCUAAAUUUUUUUAUAUCAAUUUGCCUUCAUAAAUUGAUACCAAAUAAGGAUCUAUUUUAUGUCCCAUUAACAAUGGUUCUAGGCUAACUGUAAAAUUAUGCAAAUUGAGAAUUUGCAAAACUGUGACUAGAUGAGGGGGCGGUGGAAUGGCGGCUCUCAUCUGCCCUGCCUCUCCGCAGCACUUUCCUUUUCUCCACAGCUUCUGGGACCCCACCUGGCUUCUCUCUCACCUUGCUACUUCUCAGACUCAUCUGCCCAUGGGCACCUCCAGGAGUGCCCCAGGUCCUGUCUUGUCUUCAUCUUUGCACUCUCCAAGGUGCCUUCUGCUCCUUGUCUUUAAUACAACCUAUGGACACAGGGCCAUAGGUUGGCACACAUCUGCCUUUAGCCCUGACUGCUCUCUAGAAUUGCGGAUUCUUUUCUCCAAUGCUUUCUUGACACUGGCACAUAGACAGCUAAUUAGACUUCUCAAACUGGACAUUGUCAAAACUCUGAGCUGCUCACCCUUCCAAGCAUUCCUGUCCCUUCCCCCCAUCAACAGCACUUCUGUGCUUGCAGCUGAUCCAGCCAAAGAUCUAGGUGUAUCCUUAUUUCCCCCCUUUCCUCGCUCUUAAUAUUCGAUCUAUUAGCAAGCCUUGUCAGCUCUUCCUCCACAAAAUAACCCAAAUCUGCCUACCUCACCCCAGCACCUGGUUUAGGCCACUCUCACUGUUUGCCUGGAUCUCUGCAACAGUCUGAUGUUCCUGUCUCUACUUCUGCCUGUACUCACUCCUCCACACUGCAGCCAGAAAUGAGGCCCACUACUCCACUGCUUAGAACACUCUGAUGGUUUCCCAUGGCACUUGGAAUAAAAUGCAAACCCCAUCUGACUUACAAAAUCCUAUAUAAUCUGGUACCACUCUGCCCUUUGCUCAGUAGGCUACGGCUGCAAGCUCAUUUCUGCUCCAGAACCUUUACCUUAACCAUUUCCUUGACUGGCCUAUGACUCUUGUCUUCCCCAACACCACCCUCUAGUGAGUCACUCCUUGUGGUAUUUCAGAUGUAGGCUUAAAUUUAAACUCCUUGAGAGACCCCCUGACCACCAAAGUAACCAUUCAAUAACCCUCACAUCACCCUAUUUGUUUUUAUGGCACCUACUGUUAUUUUCUUGUUUCCUUGUUUGUCUGUCUUCCUGGUAGAAUGUGGUUCCAUCAGAGCAGGGAUCUAGUCUGUUUUAUUCGUCACUGGUUUCACACAGAGGGCAUUCACCAAAUGUUUCUAUCCCUGACCCACUGGGGGAGCUACAGUGAGUCCUGCCCCAGGCUCUCCCUGAAGCCUAGCUGGCUGGCUGAGGAGUAAUCCUAGCUCCCUGGAUGAUUGCUAGGCCAUGAGACCCACCCUGAGAUGUGGGCAUCUGAAUUAGGAGGAGCUGGCCUGCAUUCUGGGAUCCUGACUCUUGUUACCUCCCCACCAACACUGCCCCCUGACCAGGGCCGAUAGCCACCUGUCUCAAUGCUAGAAGGCUGCAGACCAGCCACACAAGCUUUGCUCUCUUUCAGGCUGCCUGUCUUGGUGAUGCUAGAUGUUAAACAGCACUCACUGAGUGCUCAUGCGAUGACACUGUGCUAAGCACCUUCCACAAGUACCUGCUGACCCCUCACAGCUCUGAGGUGGUAUUAUCAUCCCUAUUCUACAGAUGAGGAAACGGAGGCUCAAACGGGUCCUGGAAGCCAGGUGGUCUGAGACCAGAGCCCACUCUCUCUGUCCCUGUGCCACUCUGCCCUAAGGCUUGCUUCCAGUUCCCAGGGUACUGUAAGGCUGGGAAAUAGGGUCAAAAUGGAGCUGAUGAGUGUUAAGGGCAAAUAAUGAACUCUACUGUGCACACUCGAAAGAGGCUUUAUAUAUAGAUUUUAACUGUAAAAGAUAAUGACUAAAAAAGUAUUUGGGCUCAUUUUCACUUAUUUAUACAACUUGAAACUGAUUGUUUAAAUCACACACCUCUUUAAAAGCAAAAUGGUUUUAACCAUCACAUUUUGAAUUUAAACAAACAGCAGGCUGCAAACACAUUAGCAAUCAGAAUGCGAUUACCAGAAAAAUGCUGUUAAAGUGGAAAACACUGGAAUUUUGGCAGUAAUCUUAGACUGAAAGGGCCUUUCUGAGUAAGUCACAGAAGAGUCAUUUACAAGAUAACUUCUUUAAGGCCACAAGUCUGUGCUCACGAUGUUUUUCUCCCAGAAUAACAAAGUCCAGUGGCCUAAAUUUUGAAAUAAAAACUGGAAACUUAGAUAGAUGUUAAUAAAGUAAGUCCUCCUAAAAUCAAUUUACCUAUGACACAUAUUUAAUCACAGAAUUAACUG